GACGAACGCUGGCGGCGUGCUUAACACAUGCAAGUCGAACGGAAAGGCCCUGCUUUUGUGGGGUGCUCGAGAGGCGCACGGGUGAGUAACACGUGAGUAACCUGCCCUUGACUUUGGGAUAACUUCAGGAAACUGGGGCUAAUACCGGAUAGGAGCUCCUGCUGCAUGGUGGGGGUUGGAAAGUUUCGGCGGUAGGGGAUGGACUCGCGGGUUAUCCGCUUGUUGGUGGGGUAGUGGCUUACCAAGGCUUUGACGGGUAGCCGGCCUGAGAGGGUGGACGGCGACAUGGGGACUGAGAGACGGACCAGACGGCAACGGGAGGCAGCAGGGGGGAAUAUGGCACAAUGGGCGGAAGCCUGAUACAGAAGCGCCGCGUGCGGGAUGACGGCCUUCGGGUGGUAAACCGCUUUCGCCUGUGACGAAGCGGGAGUGACGGUAAUGGGUAAAGAAGCACCGGCUAACUACGUG
rnacentral:rRNA from 1 species